rnacentral:rRNA from 1 species
UAAAUUUAAUAUUUAUUUAUUUUAUUAUUUUAAUUUAUUGAAAUAACUUAAUUGUUUAGUAUAUUUUAUAGAAAAAAGUAAUUUUAAUUAUAGUUUAUUUUACUGUAAAGGGGGAUUUAUUAAUUACUUUAAAGAAUAGUUUUUUCUAGUACCUUUUGUAUCAGGGUUUAUUUAAAAAUUUUAUUUAUAUAAUUUUCUCGAAAUUGUAAGAGUUAAUUUUAUAUGGAAUUUUAUGUUAUAUAAUAAUUUUAAAUAUAAAAUUUGUGGUUAUAUGCUAUUCAUUUAUAUAUAUCUAGUUUCUUGAUACUUAAAUUUAAUUUUUAAUUAUUAUAGUCAUUUUUAUUUUUAAUUAUUUAUGAUUUAUUAAUUUAAGAUGUAAAGGGAUAAGCUUUUAUAUUAUUAUAUAAUUACUUUAUUUUAUUUUAAUUUUUGUAGGAUUAGUAACUUCCAUCAUUAAUUUCGUUAUAGUUUUAUUUUUUAUAAUUUUUAUUUAUUUUUUUUAUUUAUAAUUUUAUUGAGAUUUAUUUUUUAAUUUUUUAUAAUUUGUAAUAAUGAUAAAAUUAGUAGUUUUGUUAAAUGUAAUAUAGUAAUUCGGCAAAAUUUAUUUUCGCCUGUUUAACAAAAACAUGUCCUAUAGAUUUAAUUUUAGGUCUAUCCUGCUCAAUGAUUUAAAAUUAAAUAGCCGCAGUAAUUUGACUGUGCGAAGGUAGCAUAAUCACUUGCUUUUUUAUUGGGAGCUUGAAUGAAAGGUUGGACGAAAGAUAUACUUUCUUUAUUAUAUUUUAUGAAUUUUAUUUUUUAGUUAAAAAGCUUCAAUUUUUUUGUUAGACGAGAAGACCCUAUAGAAUUUUAUUAAAUUUUUUAUUAUUUUUAUUUAUUAAUUACAUUAAUUUAAUUUGGAUUUAAUUUGGUUGGGGUGAUUGAGAAAUUUUAAUAACUUUCUUUAUUUUAACUUCAUUAAUUUAUGUUUAUUUGAUCCUUUAUUAAGGAUUAUAAGAUUAAAUUACCUUAGGGAUAACAGCGUAAUUUCUUUGGAGAGUUCAUAUUGAUGAAGAAGAUUGCGACCUCGAUGUUGGAUUAAAAUUAUAAUUUGGUGUAGAAGCUAUAUAUAUAAGUCUGUUCGACUUUUUAAUUUUUACAUGAUCUGAGUUCAGACCGGCGUGAGCCAGGUUGGUUUCUAUCUACAAUUAUUUAAGUGAUUUUAGUACGAAAGGACCAUAUUGCUAUAAUAAUUAUUUAUUUAUUUGAUUAUUAUU